rnacentral:rRNA from 1 species
UCCGCCUGGGUAGUACGGCCGCAAGGCUAAAACUCAAAGGAAUAGACGGGGACUUGCACAAGCAGUGGAUCAUGUGGUUUAAUUCGAUGACAAACGAAGAACCUUACCAGGGCUAGAAACCCCAACGAACUCCAGUGGAAACAUUGGAGGUCCGCAAGGACGGUGGGGCAGGUGAUGCAUGGCCGUCGUCAGUUCGUGACUUGAGUUGUUCCCUUCAGUGGGGUAACGAACGCAACCCUUGUUGCCUGUUACAAGUGUCAGGCGAGACUGCCCCCUUUCGGGGGAGGAAGGUGGGGAUGACGCCAGGUCAGCAUGUCCCUUGAUGUCCUGGGCUACACACAUGAUACAAUGGCCGCUACAACGGGUUGCGACGGGGUAACCCUAAGCUAAUCCUAAUAAAGGCGGCCUCAGUUCGGAUUGAGGGCUGCAACUCGACCUCAUGAAGUUGGAAUUGCUAGUAAUCGCGGGUCAGCUAUACCGCGGUGAAUACGUUCUCAAGUCUUGUACUCACCGCCCGUCAACUCAAGGGAGUUGGGAGUACCCGAAAUCUCGCGUUCGCGGGCCUAAGGUAAACUCAAUGACAGGGAGUAAGUCGUAACAAGGCACGGCUAGCGGAAGCUG